CCAGAAAUGAAGACAAUUACAAUACCGGAUCAGAUUCCGGGGUUGGAUAAUCAUGAUAAUGGUUAAUUCAGGAUUUGCUGAUCAAAUACAAUAAAAAAAAAUCCAGGCAGGUGACAAAAUUCAUCUUUGAUGAUGAAAUAAUAAUUCAAAUAUAAAAACCAAAAGAUAUAUGGAAAAGAAAGACAAAGCAGGAAAUAUUUUAUACAGAAAC
rnacentral:lncRNA from 1 species